rnacentral:lncRNA from 1 species
UGUAAAUGCCCAGGAGUGCAACUGGUGUUUUCUACAUGGUUUUGGAAGAGUUGGACAUCCGUAGGCAAAAGGAAAAGAAAAAAAGUGGACCAAGGUGUAAACCUCAUGUCUUCUGCAAAAAUUAAUGUUAAAUGGAUUCAUUGGAUCAUCUUUUUUGUCUUCAUCCAAAACCAGUUGGUUUACACUGCAAACAGCAUUCCAAAAUGAAGAUGGGAGGAAACGAGUGAGCAUUUAGCUCCUGAGCCAAGCAGCAAGUUCCUGCCUACUUCCUCAUCGCCUGAGCAACCAGAGGCCACCACAGGCCUAGAGGACCCCUCUUCCUUCCCCAGAGGAGCUCUCCAGCCCCACACCUCCACUGCCGAAUUAUCACUUGGGAGCUGGAAAGCCAAGGAGUGCAAUUCUGCUUUUCAGGCAAUCAUGCUGAUCACAAAGAUUAUACCAAUAAUCCAGUCUGAUGCAGCCCUCAGACAGGCCCUGGUCUUGUGAAAUUCACAGAAAAUUCUAAUCAAAGGUAUGGGGCAUGAGCUGAAGGCCCUCACACUGAACUUCAGCAUCUCCAACCUCCAGUAUUCAACAGACAUGAGCAAGGGCUCAGUGACAUUUAACUCCACUGAGACAGUCCUGCAGCACCGGAUGAGACCCUGGUGC